GGUUAAGCGACUAAGCGUACACGGUGGAUGCCCUGGCAGUCAGAGGCGAUGAAGGACGUGCUAAUCUGCGAUAAGCGUCGGUGAGGUGAUAUGAACCGUUAUAACCGGCGAUUUCCGAAUGGGGAAACCCAGUGUGUUUCGACACACUAUCAUUAACUGAAUCCAUAGGUUAAUGAGGCGAACCGGGGGAACUGAAACAUCUAAGUACCCCGAGGAAAAGAAAUCAACCGAGAUUCCCCCAGUAGCGGCGAGCGAACGGGGAGCAGCCCAGAGCCUGAAUCAGUGUGUGUGUUAGUGGAAGCGUCUGGAAAGGCGUGCGAUACAGGGUGACAGCCCCGUACACAAAAAUGCACAUACUGUGAGCUCGAUGAGUAGGGCGGGACACGUGGUAUCCUGUCUGAAUAUGGGGGGACCAUCCUCCAAGGCUAAAUACUCCUGACUGACCGAUAGUGAACCAGUACCGUGAGGGAAAGGCGAAAAGAACCCCGGCGAGGGGAGUGAAAAAGAACCUGAAACCGUGUACGUACAAGCAGUGGGAGCCUCUUAAUGGGGUGACUGCGUACCUUUUGUAUAAUGGGUCAGCGACUUAUAUUCUGUAGCAAGGUUAACCGAAUAGGGGAGCCGAAGGGAAACCGAGUCUUAACUGGGCGUUAAGUUGCAGGGUAUAGACCCGAAACCCGGUGAUCUAGCCAUGGGCAGGUUGAAGGUUGGGUAACACUAACUGGAGGACCGAACCGACUAAUGUUGAAAAAUUAGCGGAUGACUUGUGGCUGGGGGUGAAAGGCCAAUCAAACCGGGAGAUAGCUGGUUCUCCCCGAAAGCUAUUUAGGUAGCGCCUCGUGAAUUCAUCUCCGGGGGUAGAGCACUGUUUCGGCAAGGGGGUCAUCCCGACUUACCAACCCGAUGCAAACUGCGAAUACCGGAGAAUGUUAUCACGGGAGACACACGGCGGGUGCUAACGUCCGUCGUGAAGAGGGAAACAACCCA
rnacentral:rRNA from 1 species